rnacentral:pre_miRNA from 1 species
AUUCUACUCCCUCUGUUGCACAAUACAUGCCUUCUAUUUGUCAAAAUGUAUGUAUCUAGACAUGUUUUAGUAUAUAGGUACAUCCAUUUUUGGACAAAUGGAAGUCAAGUAUUUUGGAACGGUGGGAGUACACA